CUUAACGGAGUUUUUUAAAGUAUGUUUUUGUACCGAAAGGUUUUGAUCUUAGAUUUAGUUGUUUAGAAGUGUUGUUUGGUCUGGGUUUGGUCUUGUAAACUAAAUUUAUGUGGUGAUAUGUGAGUUGUAAAGCUUAAUAACUGUUUGGUUGUUUAGAAUUGGGUGGGAUGUAGGUGGCUAGUAGGUCAUUUUUAUUUUUAUACAUUUUUGAUGUGUGGUUUUUGGUAAGGUUAGAGGUACCUAGUUUUUGUUAUUUUGUUGUAAAUAGGGUUUUGUUGGUUUUUUGGUAUGUUAAUUGUUUGAACAACUGUUUUCCUAUAUUUUGUUAUUAUAUUAUCGUUGAAUAAGUAAUUUUAUUAUGCUAUUUAUUUCUUGAGUUCUUUCCGUUUGUUUAUUAAAAACAUUUAUAAUUUUAAUUGUAGUUAGUAGUGCCUGCCCAAUGUUGGUUAAUUAAUGGCCGCAGUAUAUUGACUGUGCAAAGGUAGCAUAAUUAAUUGCCAUUUAAUUGGAGGCUUGUUUGAAUGGUUUGACGUGAUUGGUAUGAAUAUUUGGUAUUUAGUUGAAAUUUGUUUUGAGGGUUUAGAAUCCUUAAUGUUUAAUAAGACGGAAAGACCCUAGGAUCUUUUGUUUUUGUUUGGGGCAAAUAUUGUUGUUUUAUGAAUAUUGUGACCCU
rnacentral:rRNA from 1 species